CCUACGGGAGGCAGCAGUGGGGGAUAUUGCACAAUGGGGGGAACCCUGAUGCAGCGACGCCGCGUGAGCGAAGACGUACCUCGGUAUGUAAAGCUCUAUCAGCAGGGAAGAAAAUGACGGUACCUGACUAAGAAGCGCCGGCUAAAUACGUGCCAGCAGCCGCGGUACUACGUAUGGGGCACGCGUUAUCCGGAUUUACUGGGUGUAAAGGGAGCGCAGGCGGCCUGCCAAGUCUGGUGGGAAAACCCGGGGGCCAACCCCGGGCCUGCAUUGGAAACUGGCGGGCUGGAGUGUCGGAGGGGCAGGCGGAAUUCGUGGUGUAGCGGUGAAAUGCGUAGAUAUUAGGAGGAACACCGGUGGCGAAGGCGGCCUGCUGGACGAUGACUGACGCUGAGGCUCGAAAGCGUGGGGAGCAAACAGGAUUAGAUACCCCAGUAGUC
rnacentral:rRNA from 1 species